rnacentral:rRNA from 1 species
UACGUAGGGGGCAAGCGUUGUCCGGAUUUAUUGGGCGUAAAGAGCGUGUAGGCGGCCAGACAGGUCCGUUGUGAAAACUCGAGGCUCAACCUCGAGACGUCGAUGGAAACCGUCUGGCUAGAGUCCGGAAGAGGAGAGUGGAAUUCCUGGUGUAGCGGUGAAAUGCGCAGAUAUCAGGAAGAACACCAAUUGCGAAGGCAGCUCGUUACACGAAUAUUGACUCUGAGGCACGAAAGCGUGGGGAUCAAACAGG